CUGCCGAGGCUGGAAAACUCCAAGACCCACCCACAGCUGUCUGACGCAGUGCGCAAACUCACUGCUGCACUUGUCUUCUUGCGCAUGCGCCUUCCCGUUGGCGUUCUCUGUGCAGACGCGUGGCACGCGAGCCGUUUGCUGCAAUCAUCUUUCCUCUUGAGACUAUUCAGUGCAAAACAUGAUUGAGAGAAUGAAAUCAGCAUCUUCAGUUACAGCAGAAGACAUAGCAGCAUGGAUCCAAGAGCCAAUUGAGCCUGAGGAGACCUUGCUGUUUGAGGAUGAAGAUUUUCUACUUGAAGAGGGGAACAUUCCAUAUGAUGAGGAUGUGGAAGAUGAGGAAGCACCUGAGGCUGAAGAGGCACCCAUGGAAGCUGAUGUCCAGGAACCUUCUCAGGCCCAGCAUCCACAGGAAGAAGAAGAACAUCCUGAAGUCAAUGAGGCACCAUAGCAUAUCGGGAGCCCUAGAAUGCCAGGAACAGGUGAAGCACACCCUGACGUUUAAAUGAAGACAACCUGAAUUCCUGCCAGUUGUACUUCCUUUGGAUACUUGAGUUCAAAUUCUCAAUAAAGUUUCUUUUUGUAAUUUUAUGUUCUGAU